ACGCUGGCGGCAGGCUUAACACAUGCAAGUCGAGCGCGUAGCAAUACGAGCGGCAGACGGGUGAGUAACGCGUGGGAAUCUACCCAACCCUACGGAAUAACGCAUGGAAACGUGUGCUAAUACCGUAUACGCCCUACGGGGGAAAGAUUUAUCGGGGUAUGAUGAGCCCGCGUUGGAUUAGCUAGUUGGUGGGGUAAAGGCCUACCAAGGCGACGAUCCAUAGCUGGUCUGAGAGGAUGAUCAGCCACAUUGGGACUGAGACACGGCCCAAACUCCUACGGGAGGCAGCAGUGGGGAAUAUUGGACAAUGGGCGAAAGCCUGAUCCAGCAAUGCCGCGUGAGUGAUGAAGGCCUUAGGGUUGUAAAGCUCUUUUACCCGAGAUGAUAAUGACAGUAUCGGGAGAAUAAGCUCCGGCUAACUCCGUG
rnacentral:rRNA from 1 species